UCCGGCACUCAUAAGGCUGAGCUGUGAUGGGGAGAGGAAAUUGUUUCCUCGAGUCGUUGAUUUCACACUGCCGAGAAAAGCCUCUAGAUAGAUAACAGGUGCCCGUACCGCAAACCGACACAGGUAGUCAAGAUGAGAAUUCUAAGGUGAGCGAGCGAACUCUCGUUAAGGAACUCGGCAAAAUGACCCCGUAACUUCGGGAGAAGGGGUGCUCUUUAGGGUUCACGCCCAGAAGAGCCGCAGUGAAUAGGCCCAAGCGACUGUUUAUCAAAAACACAGGUCUCUGCUAAACCGUAAGGUGAUGUAUAGGGGCUGACGCCUGCCCGGUGCUGGAAGGUUAAGAGGAGUGGUUAGCUUCUGCGAAGCUACGAAUCGAAGCCCCAGUAAACGGCGGCCGUAACUAUAACGGUCCUAAGGUAGCGAAAUUCCUUGUCGGGUAAGUUCCGACCCGCACGAAAGGCGUAACGAUUUGGGCACUGUCUCAACGAGAGACUCGGUGAAAUCAUAGUACCUGUGAAGAUGCAGGUUACCCGCGACAGGACGGAAAGACCCCGUGGAGCUUUACUGUAGCCUGAUAUUGAAAUUCGGCACAGCUUGUACAGGAUAGGUAGGAGCCUUUGAAACGUGAGCGCUAGCUUACGUGGAGGCGUUGGUGGGAUACUACCCUAGCUGUGUUGGCUUUCUAACCCGCACCACUUAUCGUGGUGGGAGACAGUGUCAGGCGGGCAGUUUGACUGGGGCGGUCGCCUCCUAAAAGGUAACGGAGGCGCUCAAAGGUUCCCUCAGAAUGGUUGGAAAUCAUUCAUAGAGUGUAAAGGCAUAAGGGAGCUUGACUGCGAGACCUACAAGUCGAGCAGGGUCGAAAGACGGACUUAGUGAUCCGGUGGUUCCGCAUGGAAGGGCCAUCGCUCAACGGAUAAAAGCUACCCCGGGGAUAACAGGCUUAUCUCCCCCAAGAGUUCACAUCGACGGGGAGGUUUGGCACCUCGAUGUCGGCUCAUCGCAUCCUGGGGCUGUAGUCGGUCCCAAGGGUUGGGCUGUUCGCCCAUUAAAGCGGUACGCGAGCUGGGUUCAGAACGUCGUGAGACAGUUCGGUCCCUAUCCGUCGUGGGCGUAGGAAAUUUGAGAGGAGCUGUCCUUAGUACGAGAGGACCGGGAUGGACAUACCUCUGGUGUACCAGUUGUCGUGCCAACGGCAUAGCUGGGUAGCUAUGUAUGGACGGGAUAAGUGCUGAAAGCAUCUAAGCAUGAAGCCCCCCUCAAGAUGAGAUUUCCCAACUUCGGUUAUAAGAUCCCUCGAAGAUGACGAGGUUAAUAGGUUCGAGGUGGAAGCGUGGUGACACGUGGAGCUGACGAAUACUAAUCGAUCGAAGACUUAAUC
rnacentral:rRNA from 1 species